UCGAGGACUUAACCGAAGAAUAGCAUUGGAAACUGGAAGACUUGAGUGCAGAAGAGGAGAGUGGAAUUCCAUGUGUAGCGGUGAAAUGCGUAGAUAUAUGGAGGAACACCAGUGGCGAAAGCGGCUCUCUGGUCUGUAACUGACGCUGAGGUUCGAAAGCGUGGGUAGCAAACAGGAUUAGAUACCCUGGUAGUCCCGGCCGUAAACGAUGAUUACUGGGUGUGGGCAGGAAGACUGUCUGUGCCGAAGCGAAUGCGAUAAGUAAUCCGCCUGGGGAGUACGGCCGCAAGGCUGAAACUCAAAG
rnacentral:rRNA from 1 species